CAAAGAACGAGGAGUACCAUGAGAUUGGCUGUAGGGGUCAGAUACAGGUCGAGGAGUACCAGGGGGUUGGGCAUAAGGGUCAGAUACAGGUCGAGGAGUACCAGGGGGUUGGGCAUAAGGGUCAGGUAAAGGUCGAGGAGUACCAGGGGGUUGGGCAUAAGGGUCAGAUACAGGUCGAGGAGUACCAGGGGGUUGGGCAUAAGGGUCAGAUACAGGUCGAGGAGUACCAGGGGGUUGGGCAUAAGGGUCAGAUACAGGUCGAGGAGUACCAGGGGGUUGGGCAUAAGGGUCAGAUACAGGUCGAGGAGUACCAGGGGGUUGGGCAUAAGGGUCAGAUACAGGUCGAGGAGUUCCAGGGGGUUGGGCAUAAGGGUCAGGUAAAGGUCGAGGAGUACCAGGGGGUUGGGCAUAAGGGUCAGGUAAAGGUCGAGGAGUACCAGGGGGUUGGGUAUA